GUCUAUUUGGAGUUAUAAGAAGUUUAACCUGCCCACUGAUAAAUAAAUAUUGAAUGGCCGCGGUAUCUUGACCGUGCAAAGGUAGCAUAAUCGUUAGUUUUUUAAUUGGAAUCUUGUAUGAAUGGUUGGACAAAAGAAAGUCUGUCUUUAUAUUGAUUGUUGAACUUAACUUUUGAGUGAAAAGGCUUAAAUGUAUUGAAGGGACGAUAAGACCCUAGAAAGCUUAAUAUUAAGAUUUUAUUUAGUUAAAUUUUACAUUAUAAAAACUUAGUAAUUAAAUUUAUUUUAUUGGGGCGAUAAGAGUAAAAUGACUAUUAACUGCUUAAUUUUAAAUUCAUUAUAGAUGAUUAAAUUUUUAAAUGAUCCUAGUUGAAGAUUAAAAGUUCAAGUUACUUUAGGGAUAACAGCGUUAUUUUUUUUAAGAGUACUUAUCGAAAAAAAAGUUUGCGACCUCGAUGUUGAAUUAAAAUGUCUUUAUAAUUGCAGCAGUUAUAAUAGUAGGUCUGUUCGACCUUUAAAAUUUUACAUGAUUUGAGUUCAAACCGGCGUGAGCCAGGUUGGUUUCUAUCGUUUGAUAGAUAAAAAAAUAUUUUAGUACGAAAGGAUUAAAUAAUUAAAAUUGUUUUGAAUAUG
rnacentral:rRNA from 1 species